CUCAGACUGAAGAGCUCAUCAUCAGAUCCAGUGCUGUACUGAACACUUAUCCAGGAAGUACAUUUUAACAAGAGGAAGAAGACUGAAGACGUGUAAACACACUACAGAGCGAAAUUGGAUUACAAAUAAAUCAAUACAAGCUAAAAUCUGAAGCUGCAGCCCUUACCCAAUUAUCUGACCGAUCAUCAUGAAUGCCAUACAAAGCAUGGAGUUUGAUUACCCUGAGAAUUGUAAUAGUCAAAAAGCCAAGAAGAGAUACAGAAAGCAAACCAUGAUGAAAAAUCCAGACAUUCUUUUUUGUGACAGAGAUGUCCAGAAUUCGUACCUCAUGUUCUACAGCACACAUUUAGCUUCAUGGACAUCCACCAUCUGUGAUAGAUACAGGCAUUUCUUAAUAAGUCAAAUUGACCAAGGUGAAAGAUACCGUAUAUAUCAUGAUAAUGCACUAGACAGAAAUGAUCCCUUUCUCACAAUAAACUUUUACACUACCGGCAUUAUCCUUGUGCAAGCCAAUGAAAAUAAUCUUAAAAUAUUUGAAAAUGACUAUUCUGAGCUGCAAACCAGAGCGACAAACAGGAACAACACAGACCCAAUCUAAGCCUUUAACAUCUAACCAGCUGAGAGAAGAAAGACCCGAAGAACAAGACCCUGCGGAGAACCCAGACACCAUAAACAUUUAACAUCUGAACCGGCGAGUGGAGAAGAGCUGACGAAAAAGACCCUGAAGAGAUUCCAGGACCUCAACCUUUAAGGUCUAACCAGCCGAGAGAAGAAAGACCUGAAGAAAAAGACACAGCAAAACAGUUGCUGAAAAGUCACUGAGCUCAUUUAUAAUUUCAGUCAAAUACCUGUAACGUAAAGCAAACUCUUGAUUUGCAUUUAAUUCCCAACCCAUCAAUGUCAACAAUUAGGCUCCUGGUGGUCUUUACUUUGAUACAAUUAUUUCUUGAUGAUGUUUGUGUUCUGCCUAAACUAAAAAGAUAAAACAUUUGGAAUCUUCGGACCAACUGAAAAAAAAUACUGUAAUUUGUUACAGCCAAUUGUAUUACUUUUCUCAAGUUAUAUUUUGGCUUUAAUUAAAACUUAAACUUUAAAUGUUGUCUUCAUCAAAAUAUUUGUUUAAAUAAAGUCAAAAAGGUAAAAAAUA